rnacentral:rRNA from 1 species
GAUGAACGCUGGCGGCGUGCUUAACACAUGCAAGUCGAACGGGAUCCCAGGGGUGCUUGCACUUUUUGGUGAGAGUGGCGAACGGGUGAGUAACACGUCAGCAACCUCUCCUUUUCUUUGGGAUAAGCAUUCGUAAGGGUGUUUAAUACCUUAUGUUCUGUCUGCCUCGCAUGGGGUGGGUGGGAAAGGCUUUGGCCGGCUUUGGGUGGGCUCGCGGUCUAUCAGCUUGUUGGUGGGGUGAUGGCUUACCAAGGCUUUGACGGGUAGCGGGCCUGAGAGGGCGUGCGGUCGCAUUGGGACUGAGAUAGAGUCCAGACUGCUGCGGGAGGCAGCGGGAGGGAAUAUUGCAGAAUGGGGGGAAAGGUGAUGAAGCGUGGCCGCGUGGGGGAUGAGGGGGUACGGGUUGUUUACUUCUUUAACUCUGAACAAGGCAUGCCGGUGGGUGUGUUGAGUGUAGGGGUGAAUAAGCGCCGGCUAACUACGUG